rnacentral:lncRNA from 1 species
GCUUGAUGUAGAUUGAGAUCUUCCGAUCACAACCUGUGCAAAUCAAUAAUUGAUGAUGACAACUUAAAACUGCUGAUUCUGACCAGUCGAUAAAAAGAGUUUUGUUGAUCGAGAUGUAAAUUAGUGUUAAAAUCUGUUUCGUUUCUUUACAUGGAAAAGUGAGAAUAUUUAAAGUUAAAUUAUUUGUUUUACAAAUUAAGAACUUCGGAAAAAGUAAAGAUAAGACAAUUUUCUUUUUAUUUAUUACGAAAACCUUUUUAUUAUAUUACCGUUAAAAGAAAUUGAUCGGAAAACUAACAUUGAUAAAGCAUUUUAAAUCAGAUGAUUAAACAAUGAAGAUUUCUACAAACCGAUAUAUUAAAAUUGUAUAACUAAUGUUUUACAUGAGCGGGCUAGUUAUCAUUAUUUUGACAUUUAAUUGAAACUAGCUAGUAUUGACUAUAUGUAUUAAUUUCUCUAUCAUAUAAAAUUCCGACACUUUUUCAGAGACAGCGGUUGACAGAAUGAACGAAGACGUUGUAUCUGGAUAAAUCUGUGAAAUUAUAUUACUGGACUAUUUUAAAUGAACAAUGUCGGAUUUGUCAGACAAUCCUCAUUUAAAAGCACUUCUGGAAAGUUCAUUGAGCUGUGUAAAGACGCCAGAUGACGG